rnacentral:lncRNA from 1 species
AUUUAGUCUGAUGUAAUUUAAAGCAUGAGACUGAUAACUUUUAAAAAAUGUUUGUUCUAGAUACAGAAACUUGAGAAAAAUGAUGGGGUACUGUGUACCUUUUAUCCUGAAAUGACAAGACUUUAAUUUCUGAUUCCAUGGUUAAUAUUUUCCCUGUGUGUACCAACAGCUGUCUUCCCAGCGAUGAGGAGGAAGCCCAUUGAGACCUCCCAGGUCCAUUUGCUUUUAUCUGCCCUGUGAUCUGUCAGCAUCCUCCUUGCUCCUCAACGGGAGAAGAUUUGUCUUGGACACCAUGAUGGACCUAUAAGAAGAAGAUACAGCAGUGUCCUCAGAACCCUUCCUAAAAAGGCAAUCAAAAGCCCAACUCAGCUGGAAUGGAAAUGGAAAUGCAAAGGUCAGUUUUAGGACAGUUAGGCUGUUCCCCUUCUAGUGGAUGCUAGUGCAAAGCGAGUUCUUUAAAUUAUGUGGAUGAGUUUGAAAUGUCAUACAGUAGAUUGAGCACGAAGGAGAAGUGUUCAGAUACUGUGCAAGCUGAUAGCUAGCCUGUGUUGAAUGUUCAUUCCUCUAGACUGCCCAGCCGGAGGACAGACCACGUUUCCCCCACAGUCUCCUGGAAAGGGACCCACACAGUAGUAGGACCCUUGCCACAGAAGAAGUA